AUUGAACGCUGGCGGCAGGCCUAACACAUGCAAGUCGAACGAGUGGCGGACGGGUGAGUAAUGUCUGGGCAACUGCCUGAUGGAGGGGGAUAAAUACUGGAACCGGUAGCUAAUACCGCAUACCAUCAGAUGUGCCCAGAUGGGAUUAGCUUGUUGGUGGGGUAACGGUUCACCAAGGCGACGAUCCCUAGCUGGUCUGAGAGGAUGACCGGCCACACUGGAACUGAGACACGGUCCAGACUCCUACGGGAGGCAGCAGUGGGGAAUAUUGCACAAUGGGCGCAAGCCUGAUGCAGCCAUGCCGCGUGUGUGAAGAAGGCCUUCGGGUUGUAAAGUACUGUCGGCGGGGAAGCGUUACCCGCAGAAGAAGCACCGGCUAACUCCGUGCCAGCAGCCGCGGUAAUUC
rnacentral:rRNA from 1 species